GCUGACACAUCCCGGCCAAUCUCCAGCAGACCCUCCCUCCCAGACCCUCCCACCUCCUGGACAGCAUCCAUGUUGAAGGCAGCUUCAACAUGGAUGCUGUCCAGGAGGUGGGAGGGUCUGGGAGGGAGAGUCUGCUGGAGAUUGGCCAGGGUGUGUCAG
rnacentral:miRNA from 1 species